UACGGAGGGUGCAAGCGUUAUCCGGAUUCACUGGGUUUAAAGGGUGCGUAGGCGGGCAGGUAAGUCCGUGGUGAAAUCUCUGAGCUUAACUCAGAAACUGCCAUGGAUACUAUUUGUCUUGAAUAUUGUGGAGGUAAGCGGAAUAUGUCAUGUAGCGGUGAAAUGCUUAGAUAUGACAUAGAACACCAAUUGCGAAGGCAGCUUACUACACAGUAUUGACGCUGAGGCACGAAAGCGUGGGGAUCAAACGG
rnacentral:rRNA from 1 species